rnacentral:rRNA from 1 species
GAUGAACGCUGGCGGCGUGCCUAAUACAUGCAAGUCGAGCGAAUGGAUUAAGAGCUUGCUCUUAUGAAGUUAGCGGCGGACGGGUGAGUAACACGUGGGUAACCUGCCCAUAAGACUGGGAUAACUCCGGGAAACCGGGGCUAAUACCGGAUAACAUUUUGAACCGCAUGGUUCGAAAUUGAAAGGCGGCUUCGGCUGUCACUUAUGGAUGGACCCGCGUCGCAUUAGCUAGUUGGUGAGGUAACGGCUCACCAAGGCAACGAUGCGUAGCCGACCUGAGAGGGUGAUCGGCCACACUGGGACCGAGACACGGCCCAGACUCCGACGGGAGGCAGCAGUAGGGAAUCUUCCGCAAUGGACGAAAGUCUGACGGAGCAACGCCGCGUGAGUGAUGAAGGCUUUCGGGUCGUAAAACUCUGUUGUUAGGGAAGAACAAGUGCUAGUUGAAUAAGCUGACACCUUGACGGUACCUAACCAGAAAGCCACGGCUAACUACGUGCCAGCCGCCGCGGUAA